rnacentral:rRNA from 1 species
AUGAACGCUGGCGGCGUGCCUAAUACAUGCCAGUCGAGCGAACGGACGAGAAGCUUGCUUCUCUGAUGUUAGCGGCGGACGGGUGAGUAACACGUGGAUAACCUACCUAUAAGACUGGGAUAACUUCGGGAAACCGGAGCUAAUACCGGAUGAUAUUUUGAACCGCAUGGUUCAAAAGUGAAAGACGGUCUUGCUGUCACUUAUAGAUGGAUCCGCGCUGCAUUAGCUAGUUGGUAAGGUAACGGCUUACCAAGGCAACGAUGCAUAGCCGACCUGAGAGGGUGAUCGGCCACACUGGAACUGAGACACGGUCCAGACUCCUACGGGAGGCAGCAGUAGGGAAUCUUCCACAAUGGGCGAAAGCCUGACGGAGCAACGCCGCGUGAGUGAUGAAGGUCUUCGGAUCGUAAAACUCUGUUAUUAGGGAAGAACAUAUGUGUAAGUAACUGUGCACAUCUUGACGGUACCUAAUCAGAAAGCCACGGCUAACUACGUG